rnacentral:rRNA from 1 species
UUGCUUCAGGUGUGAUAGUUUAUCUACUCCUUGGCGGACAUGCA